rnacentral:rRNA from 1 species
CCUACGGGGGGCAGCAGUAGGGAAUAUUGGACAAUGGAGGCAACUCUGAUCCAGCCAUCCCGCGUGAAGGAUUAAGGUCCUAUGGAUUGUAAACUUCUUUUCUCUGGGAAUAAAAACUCCGUUUCUACGGAGCUUGAAGGUACCAGAGGAAUAAGCACCGGCUAACUCCGUGCCAGCAGCCGCGGUAAUACGGAGGGUGCAAGCGUUAUCGGGAUUCACUGGGGUGAAGGGGGGCGUGUAAGUCAUUGGUGAAAUGUCGCAGCUGAACUGCGAAACUGCCAUUGAUACUGUUUAGCUUGAAUCAAGUUGAGGUGGAUGGAAUAUUACAUGUAGCGGUGAAAUGCUUAGAUAUGUAAUAGAACACCAAUUGCGAAGGCAGUUCACUAAACUUGUAUUGACACUGAGGCUCGAAAGCGUGGGGAUCAAACAGGAUUAGAUACCCCAGUAGUC